AAAUGGCCCAAACCCCUUUGAAUUAAAUUACUAUCUUCUUUAGAAAUACCCCCAUAUCCGCUUGACUCCCUUCUUUCCCUUUCUCAAACCCCCCAUCAGCUGCAGCAAGGCCACCGCCUGAGACCUCUCCCCUGAUUAACGGCGAGAAUUGAGAUCCCAACGGGUCCUUUCCUAUUUUUGCAGCCUCAUUAACUCGAGAAUCAUGUGAUCCCCAUCCUCUCCGGCAACUUCAUCAGAUGCUACCACUGCGUCAGCCUCCGUUCUUUCCAAGACUGCCUCUGGCCUCUCUAAAACUGCGUCAACUCCCACCGACAGACACAGCUCUUUUACAUGCCCAUAUUUCCCAUAGUUAAGACCGUCGGAAGAGAUUCGUAUUCAACCCGUUGAACUUCCCCAUCCACCAAGACCUUAGAGAUGAGUGGUCGGUCGAGGUUGACGAACACGGCCAAACAGGAAAAUCGCCCCCAGGAGUCCCGGUAGACAAAUCCACGCCAACACCACACUAGGGUAAGGCUGUGCUGGAUUGAACGAUUUCGUCCAAGGUUAUACAGUGAGGUAUUGCCCAAAAAUUAUCCAAGGACCUUGAGUUAAGACUUUGUUAUAAUCCUUCAUGUCCUGAAAUUUAACAAAAAAAUAACCAUUAGUGAUGUCCAUUAGAUGAAAA